rnacentral:tRNA from 1 species
GAGGGUAUAGCUCAAGUGGUAGAGCACAUGCCUAGCAUGCACAAGGUCCUGGGUUCAUAUCCAGUACCUCCU